AUUGAACGCUGGCGGCAUGCCUUACACAUGCAAGUCGAACGGUAACAGGUUAAGCUGACGAGUGGCGAACGGGUGAGUCAUGUAUCGGAACGUGCCCAGUCGUGGGGGAUAACUGCUCGAAAGAGCAGCUAAUACCGCAUACGACCUGAGGGUGAAAGCGGGGGAUCGCAAGACCUCGCGCGAUUGGAGCGGCCGAUAUCAGAUUAGGUAGUUGGUGAGGUAAAGGCUCACCAAGCCGACGAUCUGUAGCUGGUCUGAGAGGACGACCAGCCACACUGGGACUGAGACACGGCCCAGACUCCUACGGGAGGCAGCAGCGGGGAAUUUUGGACAAUGGGCGCAAGCCUGAUCCAGCCAUGCCGCGUGCGGGAAGAAGGCCUUCGGGUUGUAAACCGCUUUUGUCAGGGAAGAAAAGGUUCUGGCUAAUACCUGGGACUCAUGACGGUACCUGAAGAAUAAGCACCGGCUAACUACGUG
rnacentral:rRNA from 1 species